UUUAUGGAGAGUUUGAUCCUGGCUCAGGAUGAACGCUGGCGGCGUGCCUAAUACAUGCAAGUCGAGCGAACGGACGAGAAGCUUGCUUCUCUGAUGUUAGCGGCGGACGGGUGAGUAACACGUGGACAACCUACCUAUAAGACUGGGAUAACUUCGGGAAACCGGAGCUAAUACCGGAUAAUAUUUUGAACCGCAUGGUUCAAAAGUGAAAGACGGUCUUGCUGUCACUUAUAGAUGGAUCCGCGCUGCAUUAGCUAGUUGGUAAGG
rnacentral:rRNA from 1 species